AGAAAAGCCCAGAGGACCCGGUGCCCUGGUGUGCGGGUGCUCCCGCACGCACGCGGCGGGCUGGGUGGCGCGCGCUUCCCCUCCCCCGCGGCCCCAGAGCGCGAACCCGUGACGUCACGGACCUCCCGCCGGCCCCGCUCUCCACCGGGCCGAGCGCGUGCGGCCGCCGAGCACAUGGGCCCUCGGGCCGUGCGCGCUCCGGGCGGCCUGGACCCGGAGGAACUGCAGGGGCCGGGAGCGAGGAUGGGCCCUGGUACCCCUCGGCACCCCCCGGAGUGGAGCUCCACGCGGAAAGGAUGUUGGCGGCCCCGGUGACACGGCUUGGAUCCACCUUCCAGCCUGACCUUGUGACCAGAAAGGAAUGAAAAGGACACCCUUCCUGAAUGAUGGCCAUCCCUGUCCACUGCAUGGAGCUUCGUUCAAGGAUUUCCUGAGCCGUGUGGAUUUACAAUGAUAUUCAGCUGCCUGGGGAAUCACGCCGGUGGAGGAACCUUCCCUGGAAUUACGCAUACCUGGCACGUUUCUGGAUGCUGAAGGUGGUGGGAAGGAAGGCCCCCUCGGAGUGCCUCGUGGAUUCCGGCAGCCCAGAUGCUCAAGGGGGAAGGAGGACCACCGCUUCCUGUGCAGGCUGAGCUCCUACCUUGGACAAGAAUGUUUGGUUGGGUCUUUCCAGACCCCCAUGGGGGCUCCCUAGGAAACAAUCCUGUUACCUGGAAUGUAGGUGCCUUUAAUCUGGGGAAAAAAAAAACAACCCAACACGUAUCCAUUCAACACUCCAGAGGGAUGUGAGAACUGGCCCUUCCUGAACUAAAAUUGUAAUGCCUUGAGAUCUGGACGAUUCAGUGUGGCGUGGUGAACUGAUGACAAGGCCCCGCCUCUUCAGCCGCUCCCUGCUUCUCUGAUGCUGGACUGGAGCACAGGACUUGCUUUGUCCACGGGGGCAUUAACAGGCACAUUGCAAGCAAAACUUUGAGAAAGCAUUUCCAUGUGCACUCUUGGACUUCCGCCGUCACCAAGGGAAGGACGUUCUGAGCUAGCGUUCCGGCUCUCGGAGAAGGAUGAGAGACACACAGAACAUAACGAUGGUGCUCUAAUCCUCCGAGGGAGACCAGCCUAGACCAGCUGACCACCAGCCACUCCUAGACCCCUGAGUGAGCCCAGCCAAGACCAUCCGAGCUGCCUGCCUGGCCACCCAAGCACAUGGACACUUAGUGCUUGUGCCGCGGAGGUUGUGUUGUUACACGGCAUUUUUAAGUGAUAAAUGCAAUGGGAAUAUCAAGAAUAACUUAUUUGGUGACUUGAAUUCUGCAAGGGCGGGGGUUGCCUGGCCCUCAGUGUAUUGUCUGGUAUAUCAGGUCCCUUUUGUCAAGUGAUUGGCCGACAAGGACAAAUCUGGUAGCCCCUCUGUGAACGCACUCAGCACCUGACCUUGCCCGCUUCCUCUACUCAUGAGCAUCUCUCUGUUCAGCUGGGAUCGCUGCUUGUCCCCUCUCCCCUGGUUUUCUGUUACAGCAGAGGUGCCGUUUGUUGGACAAGUACAGAGUGAGUGAGGCAGUGAAUGGGAGAGAGAGAAAGCCUGCAUGUGCGUGCAUGUGUGUGCAUGUGUGUUGGGGAGUGGAGUAGCUGAAGUCCUAGCUUUGAACAGAACUGUAGUCUCUGCUGAUCUACUGAGUAACUUGGGUCUUAACCCGCAAGGCAAGCCUGCUAUCUGUGUUCCUUCAGCAGGGCUGGAGUGGGGGCAGGGAACAGUUUGGCACUGAUACUGGCUUCAGAACGGACCAUAGGGGAGCUACAUGAAGGUCCGCCCCCAUAUUUUGGGCACAUGCUCUCCAUGCAGUAGUUUUUGGCCAUUCCCAUUUGGUCCUCGCUGCAAAGGAGAAAUCGCCCUUUCCAGCUGAACCGUGAAAGCCCUUCCCUCAGCGGCACCCAGUGCAUGCCUGGGGGUGCAGCUGAGUAGGGAGGAACAUGAGUUCUUAGGGGCAGGGCUUCCCGCCAGCGGGGCAGCUUCUUUUAAAGCCCAUCACGCCCUCCAGGGACCUCAGCGGACACCCAGGCAGGUUCCCCCAGGAGGAGGGGUGUGGCUGGCCCAGGGUUACACAGUUUGACCAGGUUAUGUGACAUACCUUCCAAGGCCCUUCCUUGGCGAGUCUGGUUGGGGUCGCAUGGAUCAGUGGGCGUCACUGAGAUUCCUUGCUGGUAAGUUUCCUGGUCUCCACAUCAGCUCCUUAAAAGAAGCGGCCCAGAGCACUUUGCAACCCCAGAGCCCCUGGGAGAUGCUGCUUCCACCUGGCCGAGGAGCUGUGCAGGGAAUCCCCCAUUUGAGUACCGACGUGCCCGUCCUCCCACCUGCCAGCUCAGAGCAGGGCCAGGCCAGGAAGGUUACUGGGCCUUGGCUCAGGCUGGCGCUGGCUGGGCAGGAGGCGGAGGGAGCGGCGGGCAGAAGCCCUGCUUGGCCAGCCGCCUCGGGCACCUGCCAUCCUCCCGUGUUUGCUCAGCGGGUCCGGAGAGGAAGCAGGAUGCUUUCUCUUGGGCCCUGGGCGUUCCCGGCCUCGGGGGCCAGCUGCUGGGGCUGGCACCUUCUCUGAGGAGCUGUCUUUUGCCCUCUUUGUACUGCCCUCUCUCAUCUACCUGACAAGCAGGUAAUAAUCUCACUAGCACUUAAGGUAACCCCGGGGGGGAAGGCAGGCGGCCUGGCUAGUGUGCACGGAACAAACGCUGGCAAGGGGCCCAGCAGCUCCACGUCAAGCACCUUCAGCCCUGGGGGUAGAGAUGCCCCCUCGGUGGCACCUCCAAACAUCCUGCCGCACACCCUUCCCCACCUCUUCGCCACGUCAGGAAGUGUUUGCUGGAGUUCGGGCCAGAGCCUCCAGCGACACACCAUCUGCCUUUAAUAGGACGUGAGGAAUGAGUGAAAUCCACCCUGAGUUUCAGUACAGCUCCUUCCUGUUAGAACCACAUGAGAGACGGGCUAUAAGGCCUCUCUUACCCCCAGGGGCUUCCUGCCUCCCUAAGACAGAGCUCUACAGUCACCUGCGUGAGAGAGCUUCGUGGUGUGCAAAGCAUCAUCGCAUACACUAGCUCACCCGUGUGGGCCUCCCACACCCUGGGAAUGAAACGGUACUAAUGGCCCCAUUUUACAGGCGAGUUAACUGAGGCCAAGAGAGGCGGAGUGAGUCGCCCAGUGCCUGCAGGUAGAAGAGGCAUCUGAGCAGAGACCGGAAGCCAGGUCUCCCCUCUACAAAUCCAGACUUCCUUCUCAUUCAUUCUUUGGUGCUUGCAGACAUUCAGGAACACGCGGGUUUCUCUCUGGGGUUUGUGCUCAGACAAGAUCAGAGUGUCGGGAAAGGAACGAACAGUUCCAUGAGCUGCCUUUGGCUUUGGCUCUGGCUCUGGCUCAACCAAACAUGGUAUUGAUCUUUGAGACAGGUGCCAUUUGGCCCCAUAUUACACUGCAGAAGCCGGGGUCCCCAGAGGUGAAAUGGCUCUUCCCGAGUUCCACAGGAAGCAGGGGCCGAAGGUGGCCUCCGGUGCCUUGGCCUUGUUCUUGCUCUCCUCAGGCCACAUGACCUCCUGAGACCAGCUGUGCUAGGUUGGUGGGGGGCAGGAGCUGGCACACCUCCUGGGAGGGCCCUGGGGGCACCCAGAGCUGCCUGGUGCUCUGCUCCCCCUUCAGAGGGAAAGGCUCCGAGUGCAGCCUUCUCGCAGCCUCCUCCUCCCAGCUGUGCUCCAGUCCAGAGUCGUGGGCGUGUGGUGGGAAUGGAGUGAGCUGGGGGGCCCCGGCUCCAGUGCCCUCACUCACCAACUAAGAAGUCAUUUGAGGUGAUGUGACGGGCCCUGACCCACGGAAGGGGCGGCAGAGCUUGGAGUGGAGUCCAGGCCCCUGACCCCAGGCCUGUGCUCUGAGGCUCCCCUCCUGCCACCUCCUGGUCCCUGACCCCAAGCUCUCCUAUGGGCCUCCUGGCAUGGCCCUUGCUCACAAGAUGCUGUGCAGCCCCCACUGCCUGUCCUGGGUCCCAUGUAUGUGUGGCUGUCAUCUCCAGGAAGAACACGAGACCCUCGGUGGAGGGGACAGAUGUGACUGCCUUCGGAGCUGGGUGCAAGCUGGGCCUGCAAGUUGGUGGAAUCUGGGUUCCAGCCCUACUUAUGUGGCCCAGGGCAAGCUGUGUGUUGUCCCUCAAGUUACAUGACUGUCGCUUUCCCCCACCAUCCCCUUUGUGCUCUCCUGCAACAAUGACACCCCCCCACCCCACCCCACCCCCCGGUCCAGCACUUAGAAGGUGCCAGGCUCCCGUCCCACAUGGCGGUGAUUCCCCUGGGAGCAGGCCACGUGAAGUUGGAAGAGCAUUUCACUGGGGACAGGCUCCUAUGUUGUAGGCUUACCCCACUGCCAACGUGCUGAUGCGCUUGCUGGCCAGUGUCAUUUACUGAACCCUCCAGGCACCGAGGCUCGGGGGUAGGUCACAUGCCCGAGGUUGCAGUCGAUGACAGAGUCUGGAGGGAAGCGUGGGCAUCGGUCUGGAGGCCCCUGUGCCACGGGACAACGCUCUGCCCUGUCUUCACCCUGGAGAAGUCCUCUGUUGCUCUGGCUCACGGCUGGCCCCCCUGCCCGCAGGUGUCGGACCCGCAGUGGGUGCUAGUUCUUGGUGGCUGAGUGGAGAAACAAAGGGACGAAUGUCCUGAAAUGCAUAGACUCCUGACUGACUCCUUUGAAUUUCCGACAGACACAAGGGGCUGCCAUGUGCCAGCCGGUGCCACCUGCCAAGCCACAGCCUUCCCCAGCCUCAGGUGCCUCCUUAGGCAGAGGGCCACACCUGCCGGCUGCCCAGGGUGCCCGCACCUUGCCCCGCUCCCCGCAGCCCUCCCCCUGCAGCCUCCCCUUCCCGCCCUCCAUCCCGCCGCGGGCUCCCGCCAAACCAGCCCACAACGGCCUCCUUUUGUUCUCUCAUCUCAGUUUCAGGCAGACCAGUCCAGCCCGGCCCCCCAGCUCACUCUGCACACCCCUUUGAAGCCUUGACAGUUGGCCAAUGGAGCUGGCCGAGUGCACGGAGGCUGGGGCCGGUGCCAGGGCCUGGCAGCCACUUCCCGCCUUGCCGGCUCCCCGGACCUGGCGUUUCCAGGGCCCGUGCCCACGGGGACGGAGAUGCCAGGAUGUUCGCUUUGCCCUCAUGGACAUGCAUCCAGGGCCGCCGGCUGGGCCGUUCCCACAGCCCGGAGUCCUUUCUCCUGCGUCCCCUGUGGUGCAGCCCUCUGUGUGGCACACCACCUUGGGUCCCGCAGCGGAGAAUUGUAGCAGCAAGGGCCUGGCUGGGUUCUGCACUCUCUAAGGAGAGGCAGGAUGGGAUGGGGACGGGGACAGGAGCACAGGCCUUGACUCUGGUGUCGAGCACCUCACUCUGCCACCUCCAGCUGUGGGACUUUCCUGCUUCGUGCCUCCAUUUCCUCUUCUGUGAGCUGGGAGAACGGCAGACCUGGUUCACGGCCGUCCAGUGAGGAGGAAGCAGAUGCUGUGGGUUAGCACAUUGUGGGCAUUUGAUCACCCACCGGUUGCUGGAGCUCGUGAUCAGUGUGUGGGGUUGUCGCUGGAGUUGCUCGGAGCAUCGGAGCGCUGGGAGGGGCAGGGGGCUGCACGUGAGCCCUGCGCAGCCUGCGGAGUUCCGGCCUUGUCCCCCGCACUACUGGGUGACAGCUGUUAUGACUCCUAUCAAAACUCCAUGUGCAAAUGAGGGGUCUUAUGUUCUUAUGUCAUAACCUUAAAAUACAGGGUCUGUGCGCAAUUUAGGAAAUUCAGAUAAGUGAAAGGAAAAACCAAAAACCACUUGUCAUCUACUGUUCAGAUACGUGUCGCCAGGUGCACACACAUGCAGUGAGAGACUGAACACUUGUCUCCUCUGGGUUCACAGGUGGAAGCCCUGAUUUAUGUGAUGGUAUUUGGAAGUGGGGUCUUUGGGGGGUGAUUAAGGUUAGAUGAUGUUAUGAGGGUGGGGCCCUCCUGAUGAGAUUAGUGACCUUAUAAGGAGAAAGAGAGGCCAGAGCUCCAUCUGCAUGAGAGCAAAGAGGAAAGGUCAUUCAAAGAUACAGGGAGUGGAUGGCUGUCUCCAAGCCAAAAUUCAUGUCCUCAGGAACUGAACUGGCUAGCACCUUGACCUUGGACACCCCGGCCUCUAGGAUGGCAAGCAAUAAACUCUGUUGUUUAAGCCCCUCAGUCCCAGGCAGGCUAGGACACAUACACACUGAAAGGGCCAGCUUAAAAACUACUGUUUGUAUUAAACAAUUCGUACACACACACAUGCUUGCCUACAUGUACAUGUAUUUGAGAAGGUCAAGUUUCUGUUAAGAGCUUUUGCCAUUUAGCAUAAGGCGCACUUCUCUCCUGUUAAGGCAUUUGUCUGCACAUAAAGGCCACAUGGCAUGUCAUAAUACAAACGUGCCGUACCCACUUCCCAGAGGCGGAAGUUGCCUCAGUGAGAAGCAGAGUAAGUCCCACAAGGUUGCCCAGCUGCUUGGGGCAUCGCUGACCCCCGGCGCUUCUCCAGGAAGGUCUCUGCGGUGCCCCGGGGCAGAUUUCACAAGAAUCUGAGUUUUAUGAGAAUGGGGACCGCGUCCUGCUGAGUCUCCAUCGUCUCUAGGGCACCCACCACGAGGUGGGCACUCUUCACAGAGACUGAGUGAAAGCUGUGUCCAUUUCCCUUUCGGUCACUUUUCUUCUUGCUCAGACCUCAUCCCUGCGCCCACUGUGUCUCCCCACGGGGCCCCCUCGCUGGCUGUGUCCUCCUCAGGCCAGGCCUGCGUCCCACUGGCUCAGAGCAGGCUCCCUGCAAGUGAAAGCCGAACUGGGGAGACGGGGACUUCAAAUCCAUCCUGGAUUCGAGGCAGCACCCUCCCCAUGAGCUGUCCCAACCUCUGUCACCACAGGCAGGGCUUCAGGUCCCUGGACCCAUCCGGUUGUGAGUGACCCACCUACUGCCAUUGGUCCAGGAAUGACUUGGAUAUCAGCCCCUGCCUGCCACACCUGGUGUUGGCACACCUGGGCUCUCCCAGAGCAGACCUAAUGGCCGAGGUUUAGGUAACACCUGGGGCCGUUAGGAGGCCAGGCACCUCCUCUCUGCGAGUCUCCAGGGCUGCGUGUCGGGUGUCCGGUAGCUGGCAGGGGAGGGGGCCCGGGAGCCGCUGCUCCCUUGUGUCUGCUGCCAGCAGGGCCUUGGAUGCCCACAGGGGCUGCCUGCCCAGCCAGGGUGAUUGUGGAAGACAAAAGGUUCAUAAAGCUGCACAAAUGAAAUGAAAACGACCCAGGAACUGCCUGGGAGCUUAUCACCCUGUUUCCGGGUUGUUGGUAAGGGUGGGGAGGGCGUCAGGGAGCAUUCUGGGCCUCGUGAUGGCCUGCACGUUUUGUCGCCCUGGGGUCAUGGACCCGGCAUUAUCCUCAAAGUCCUUGGGAAGUCCCUUGGCCUCUCCAAGCCACAGCUUUCUCCUGUGUAAAGUGGGUGUUAUGAGAGCAAACUCUUGGAGCCCUGGUGAGCAUUCGAUGAGUUGAGAUACUUAAAGGGCCUGCUACGUGGUACUCUAACAAUAGUAACAGUAGUCACGGCAGCGGCAGCUGAUGCACACUUAGGAUUUAUUUCGAGCCAGACACCGUUCUAAUUGCUUUGCAUGUAUGUACUCAUUUAACCUUUGGGAUGACAUUAUGAGGUAGGU